UACGUAGGUGGCAAGCGUUGUCCGGAAUUAUUGGGCGUAAAGCGCGCGCAGGCGGUCUUUUAAGUCUGAUGUGAAAGCCCACGGCUCAACCGUGGAGGGUCAUUGGAAACUGGAAGACUUGAGUACAGAAGAGGAGAGUGGAAUUCCACGUGUAGCGGUGAAAUGCGUAGAGAUGUGGAGGAACACCAGUGGCGAAGGCGACUCUCUGGUCUGUAACUGACGCUGAGGCG
rnacentral:rRNA from 1 species